AAAGACGUGUGCAGAGAAAGGAGUCCGCUGACGGCCAGAGAGAGAGAGAGAGGUGAUCCCCGUGGAGCUGCCUGGAAGAAGGAUCCUAAUAUCAUGUAUCAGUUAGAUGACCAAGUUCAGGGCCUGCACGACUGCUGCAGCUCAGCGCCGGAGCUCGGAUCAAUGGAAUACUGUUGGGGAUACAACGGACCACACCCACACACUGAUUAGACCCUCUGAUUGGAUAUCACAUGGAUGUCUUGACCACUACCAUGGCUUUCAUGCAAAUUGAUGAAGGAGCAAAGAAGCAGCUGUGAGAAGCCCGGAAGGUCCCCCAACUCUGCCCCUCACCUGUGUCACAUCUGCCUGCCAGUGCCAUCAAGGUGCGUCAAUCUUCCACCCUGGCAUCUCUUUACCUGUGGCACUACACUGCACCUUCCUGGCUGGCACGCUUUCGACCCUCCCCCAUCACUCCCGCCUCUUGUUCCUCAAGGCAUCUGUCACUCACCUGUCAUUUCCUUCAUCAACUCCUGCCUUACUCCUACCUU